rnacentral:rRNA from 1 species
AGAGUUUGAUCCUGGCUCAGGAUGAACGCUAGCGACAGGCUUAACACAUGCAAGUCGAGGGGCAUCAUGAGGUAGCAAUACCUUGAUGGCGACCGGCGCACGGGUGAGUAACGCGUAUGCAACCUGCCUGAUACCGGGGUAUAGCCCAUGGAAACGUGGAUUAACACCCCAUAGUACUUUUAUCCUGCAUGGGAUGUGAGUUAAAUGUUCAAGGUAUCGGAUGGGCAUGCGUCCUAUUAGUUAGUUGGCGGGGUAACAGCCCACCAAGACGAUGAUAGGUAGGGGUUCUGAGAGGAAGGUCCCCCACAUUGGAACUGAGACACGGUCCAAACUCCUACGGGAGGCAGCAGUGAGGAAUAUUGGUCAAUGGACGAGAGUCUGAACCAGCCAAGUCGCGUGAGGGAAGACUGCCCUAUGGGUUGUAAACCUCUUUUAUAAGGGAAGAAUAAGUUCUACGUGUAGAAUGAUGCCUGUACCUUAUGAAUAAGCAUCGGCUAACUCCGUGCCAGCAGCCGCGGUAAUACGGAGGAUGCGAGCGUUAUCCGGAUUUAUUGGGUUUAAAGGGUGCGUAGGCGGUUUAUUAAGUUAGUGGUUAAAUAUUUGAGCUAAACUCAAUUGUGCCAUUAAUACUGGUAAACUGGAGUACAGACGAGGUAGGCGGAAUAAGUUAAGUAGCGGUGAAAUGCAUAGAUAUAACUUAGAACUCCGAUAGCGAAGGCAGCUUACCAGACUGUAACUGACGCUGAUGCACGAGAGCGUGGGUAGCGAACAGGAUUAGAUACCCUGGUAGUCCACGCCGUAAACGAUGCUCACUGGUUCUGUGCGAUAUAUUGUACGGGAUUAAGCGAAAGUAUUAAGUGAGCCACCUGGGGAGUACGUCGGCAACGAUGAAACUCAAAGGAAUUGACGGGGGCCCGCACAAGCGGAGGAACAUGUGGUUUAAUUCGAUGAUACGCGAGGAACCUUACCCGGGCUUGAAAGUUAGCGACGAUUCUUGAAAGAGGAUUUCCCUUCGGGGCGCGAAACUAGGUGCUGCAUGGUUGUCGUCAGCUCGUGCCGUGAGGUGUCGGGUUAAGUCCCAUAACGAGCGCAACCCUUACCGUUAGUUGCUAGCAUGUAAUGAUGAGCACUCUAACGGGACUGCCACCGUAAGGUGAGAGGAAGGCGGGGAUGACGUCAAAUCAGCACGGCCCUUACACCCAGGGCUACACACGUGUUACAAUGGCCGGUACAGAGGGCCGCUACCAGGUGACUGGAUGCCAAUCUCAAAAGCCGGUCGUAGUUCGGAUUGGAGUCUGUAACCCGACUCCAUGAAGUUGGAUUCGCUAGUAAUCGCGCAUCAGCCAUGGCGCGGUGAAUAC